rnacentral:lncRNA from 1 species
AAGCAAUCGUCUGCCAGUAUAGCAAAUAGAAGAAGUACCUGACUGCUGAUGGUCGCCAGUAACAGAUGUACCGGAAGUCAUGACACAUGGAAUAGCUUAUAAGCGGGAUUAUGAAUAAAAGAAAAAAUGAAGAAGUUUCGAUAUAUUCUACUUUUUUUUGUUUUUAUUUUAGAAUUAUGCUUUGAUUUAGGUAAGUUUUAAACGUUAAUUUAUCUUUAAUUGAUAUUUCAAGAACAAUACUAAACUGUUACUUAAGUCAAUUAGUUUUUAUUCUUUUAAGUGUUAUCAUGAUGUUAUGCAAUUUACGUAAAUGAAACCAAUUUUAACAAUAAAACAAAAAUAUGUUAUUAAGUCCAUAUGCGUAAACACUCCAUUCAUGAAUGACGUACUGUUAAAGUUUGUAGAAUCAAGUUUGGUAAUUAUGGUCCUUUGUUAGAUGAAAUUAGCAGCACAUUAUAAUUAAUACAUUAUAAUAUAAAGCUAUUUGAUUCUUUUCAUAACAAGAACAACAAUGCGGGAAGAUAUUAUUUAAACAUGUAAACCGGAUAGAAGCAUACAAGUUCUAACUUUUGUACGUUUUUAAACAUGGACGUCAUGAAAACUUGUAUUUUGAGAGAAAUCUUCAUCGUUCAGUAUUAUUUUUAUUGUUCUUAACGUAUGAGAAUAAACCAAAAAUUGUAACUAGAAUUUUAAUCAUUUUCCAUUAUUAGUCAGAAGUAGGAAUCAAUUUCAUUUUCGUCUGUUUCAUCUACAUGAACAAUCGGAAAGUUUGUGAUAUCUGCACUACAUAGAAUACAUACAUUACAAGUCUAUAGUCCUUCUGCGUCUCACUUAGCAGGGGUAAAAUCAGUGAAUUAAUGAAUGUUAGAAUUACGAGUAUUGAAAGUCUAUGUUCAUUUGUCUGAUAUGUUCGAGGUUUUGAUUUUGCCAUUUGCUUAAGGACUUUCUGCUAAGAAUUUUCCUCGGAAUUCGGUAUUUCUGUUAUUUUGCUGUCAUUACAAAGACAUUUCAUUGAUUUUUUAGAAUUUCAUUCUUCAAAUUAAAAUAUGUGUUUUUUUUUUCUCUUUUCGAUAAUAUUGAAGACAAUCUUUUUGUAUAACAAUUCAAGAUUUACAAGUUUUUCGGGUAAAUUAUUCCGUAGCUUAAAGACCCUAAUAUACUUUACCUGUAUUAGAACUUUAGCGUUAGCUUCUAAUAUACUAGAAUCUGUGUAUUGUGUGUUUAUCUAAAUAUAUAUAGAUAUAUAGGCACUUUAUACAUAUUCUAAGGCCUGGUAUUUCUAAAUCAUAAGAAAUCCGAUGGACAAGGUAUAAUUUGCAGUUGUCACUACACACAGGCAGAUAUAUACAUAUAUAUAUAUAUAUAUAUAUAUAUAUAUAUUUAUUUAUUUGUUUUUGUGUUUUUUUUUUUCAUUGGGUAUUUAUCUCAAAAGGUAUGAUAGUUUGUUUAUUGUGUAAAAAAUAACUUAUUUCUUUUUGUAUUCAUGUACAUGGAGGAAAUAAAGAUGCAUUCAUUCAUUUGCGCAAAUUCAAAAUUAAGGUUUGAUGGCUUUAAAAAUGGCUUUACGUCCGAGCGAAUAUCUUGUUACUAAUCUGCGUUAUAAGAUGAGUUUCAAUCCUGAGUAUGAACCAUUUUCACGAUAUGUUUAAAAACUGUAUAAAAGGUAUAAUAAAAAAGUCUUAAUUCGUGUUUAAAAAUCACUAAUAUUUAUGGAAUUGAAUGCAUGGUCGUUGAUAAGGAAACAAAAGAGUUCGUAUUCUCUGUAAAGGAAAACUCUUAAUAUUUCAAACGUAGUCUGGAUUACAACACGGUGCAUGUAUAUCUGUUUGUGAUCGAAACAGCCUACUAGUAAGUUCUUUGUUGGUACUUGUACGAUGGCGAGUUAAGAUCAUAUACAUGUAGAUGUAAAAUUUGAAAUGUUUAUAUUUUUGGAACAGUAAAUUGCAUUUUGUCAUUAUUUUUUGUGUUUCACAAGAGAUGGGACAAAGUUUUAAUUGACACUAUUCACCUGAAAUAGCAGUAUAUAUAGUCACUUUACGUUCAGAUGGCUCAAUGAGUUGAAUAAAACUGUUCGUUGUCAUUAGUAUAUAACACACUAGACAAUUGCUGAAACGUUUUGUUCUCUCAUUUUGAACAGCUGUCCAUAUUGUUUCCGGAAAUUGAAACUCACGGGCCUAGAGAACACAAUAGUCGGCAUUUUUUGUUUUCUAUUUACUAUUUAAACUAUAAUAUCUUGUUUAUUUAAGUUAUCGUAAUUUUGAAAUAAAUUCGUUAGUAGACAAUUUAAUAAUUCAUGGCAAACGUAUCUCAUUUAAUAAAAAUUUCGCGCUAUCGUGGAAAUUGUUUGCUUAAAUUUAGAAAAUUCUCACAAACAUAAAAAGUUACUUACAAUUUCAGAUAUAAUUCAAUUAUUAAAACCCAUGUUCAUUAUGCAAAGAACAAACCUUGAAGCUGUUUAAAAAAACUUUUGAAUAGAUUUGAAAUGGUAAUUACUGAAAAGGGAUAUGUAUAUAAAAAAAAAGUAAAAUCGCAAAAAAUACUGAACUCAGAGGAAAAUCAAAUUGGAAAUUCCAUAAUCACAUGGCAAAAUCAAAUGACAAAACACAUAAAAAAAAACGAGUGGACAACAACUAUCCAUAUAUAAAUAUAUACAUCAACAAUGCGUUUUAGAGUUGACUGUAAAAUAUAUUGAAAUAAGGGAAUAUCUCUCUACUGGUUCAAUACAAGUCAGACCAUGAGCAAUUUUUUUAUCUAUUAUUAUGCAUAUCAAUCCCGUUUCAUUUUUUUUCAAUGAAAUAACUGAUUUAAAAAAGUCACAAUCAAAUAUACCAAUACUAGCAUACCUGAAUAUUUGCAGUAUCGAUCAGUACGUUUCAAACUGUUAUGACAAAGGGAUAAACUCAUGUUAUAGAUGUCUACAACAGACAUUGGGAAAAGUAUUGAAUAAUGUCUCAAUAUGGAAUUAACGGCAAUGUGAUUGUUUUGUGUAGAGCAAACAUCCUCUUAUAAAGUUAAUGUCAGCAACAGAAAUAAAUAGUAUAAUAUUGCAUACUAUGGUCAACUGAACGACAGGUAUGAUAAAUAGACAAAAUUAGAUGAAUUGUCUAUUUUAAUCUUCUCAAUAUCAAGUGAUGAUUAAUUUAUUUGUUCUUGUACAAAUAGAAACAAAUGGAAUUUAUAUAAAACAUUUAUGUCAAUAUAUAAAACAAGGCAUAUUUGUAUAUAUUAAUAAAUAAAUAUUUUAUUAUUUUGCUUGAUACUGCAUUUGCUAUUACUAUGUUUACUUUUAUAAAGAAAAAAAGAUAUAACAGUAGGGACUCAAUAUUGUCCCCAAAUGAUAAAAAAAUGUUACAUAUUUAGUAAUUUUAUUUUUAUUUCUUCUGAAGAGGGACAGUAAAAAUAAAGAGCACGUCUUUGGUUUGUGAUUAUUAUUAGCGAGGAUAACAGCAAAUAAAAUAUUUGAAUUCUGUUAAACAUCUCUAACAUCUCGCAAGAGACGGUUCAAUACUCCUUAUCUUAUAUACUACAGUAUUUACUAUUUCAAAUUCAGAAUUCGAGAAAUCAUACGUUGUUUUUUCCAUAUGCAAGUGAGUGAAUUAUAAUAAAUACUAUUUUAUAAAAAAUCGAACAAUUGACACAGUGAUAGUAGCUUUUAUUCUUUAAAAAAUAUUAAAAAGAACAAUACCAUUUAAAAGCUUUAAAAAAUAAAUUCACGUUUUGUCUAAUGAUUCUUUUUAUAAAAGCUAAAUGACAUCUUGUUACAGCCUUUUGUUUAUCAUUAUCAAACAAAUUAUUCAAUACCCAGACACAGAUUUCAGAUCAGGUUGCAUUUGUUUGAGUAAAUUAUCAGCAAUAUUAUUUACAUACGUUGCCUUUGAAUAAAUGAUUCAUUUAUUUACAAUUAGAUAUUUGUGUUUUUUUUUUGUUGCUUUUUUUAAGUUGGCAAAACAUAGCAUGAUGACGAUUUUUCAUACGGCGUUUCAAGUUAUGCUUAAAACUGACCAUUAAAAAUAUAUAUGAUGUAAUUUUAUUAAAGGAGAUACGGAUAUACUAUUAUGAAUCAACAAUUAAAUGAUGCUUAUUUUCCUUUUUUAUUUUACAAUAUUCAAGCAGACCUUUUAAAUGGUGAAUAUUUAUUUCAGUUAAUACGACAUUUCAGGGUUUGCGUUUCCUUGAAAAAGGGACAAAAGAUACCAGCGGGAAAACAGAAAAUAAUAUAACAAAAGACACAAUAUAGAAAACUAAAGAAUAAGCAAACAUGAACCCAACAAACCCAAGGGUGAUCUCGUAUUGCACCCGUCGUGUUUCUCAUUUUAGUACAAUCCGGGUAAAUAGUCUAAUUAUAGUUUAAAUAUAUUUUAUUUGCUGAAUUAAGGCAAAAUGGAAUAGACACAAGUAAAUCAUACUAUAAUAAGUCUCCUCCAUAAUACAAUAUAAAAUUACAAUAAUAGUAUAAUAUAAUGGACAUGCAUAUAAAGCAAACAGUUUAUAGAAAUAUAAACUAGAUUUCAUAGGUAUAUAGAGGAGAGGAGAGCGAGAAAAAAAAAAUAAAAGUUUGAAAAGUCAUAUAACUGUUUGACGAUAACGUGUGUAUUAAGGAUGUCGAUGAUGUUCCGUGCCAGUAACAAUAACGCUCUAUCAAGAAAAAAGAAAUCUGUUUCGCCUUUUUAUGAAAUUAUGAACAUGUUUGAAAAUUUGAAUAUUGUGUUCGUUCAAAAGUUCGCAAAUUAUUAGUAGUAAUUUAUCUAAAACCAAAUUUUCGAAUAGACAGUUAAGAUUAUUGAAUACAGUUUUUCUACAUGAUGUGCAUUUUGGACAAACGAAGAAGUAAUGGUAGACAUCCUCAACAUCUGACCCACAAUGACAAGAAGGAUCUUUUAUAAUAUUAGCUCUAAAUAGUUCAUUGUUUAAGAAUGAAGCGGAACAUCGCAAUUGCGUUAAGAUAAUAGUCAAUUUCCUCGGGCCGUACACAUAAAACGUUUCAAUUUUACAUAGUAGACUAUCGUUUUUUAAUUCUUUCUUAAAUUUAGAGAGUCGACACUGCGAAUUUUUGGAUCAAGUUAAUUCCAUUCACGUAUUGUAGAAAGAAUAAACGAAAGAAAGUCUACAAAAUGGAGCAAUAAUAUCAGGACCAUUUCGCAACGGAUAGUUGGUUGUACUUUGUACACAUAGAGGUACAAUAUAACAGAGGUACUUUGUGCAUGAUUUUGGUUCAUGUUAUAAAACAUCUGUAAUUUUCUUCUCCUUCUUCUUUCAAAAAGAGAUUCCCAGCCAACCUCAGAAUAUAAAGUUUCAAAUUUUGUAAAUAUUGGUAGACCGGUUACUAUUUUUGCGGCCUCUAAUUGCAAAUUUUCUAAUUUAUGUGAGCAGUCUAUUCCACAAUUAUCCUACACUUCCGUGGCAUAUUAAAAAAAUGGGUCGAAUAAAAACUAACUAUAGUUUUUCUAAAUUGUUUCGAGAUAAUCGGUAUUUAAGUUUACGUAAAAAAUAAAGUGGUUUUUUACACUUGUAAUUAUACUUUCAAUAUGAUUGUUCCAUUUUGCGUCACUGAUGAAAUUAACUCCCAGGUGCUUAUAAGAUGUAUUUAAAAGGUAAAUUUUUACCAUUUAAGGAAAAGCUCAGGUCUGGAGUCUCAAUAUUUGACAAAAUCAUAAUUUCGGUUUUAUCUGGGUUAAAUGAUAUAAGCCUUUUAGAAGACCAAACAUCCAGCUGUUUCAGGUCCCGAUCGAUAACAUAUUUAAUCUGUUCUAUGUCGUUACCAGAAUAAUUGAAUGGUGUGUCGUCAGCAAAUAGCCGACACAGUGAAGUAAGCUUAUUAGCAAUAUCAAUAAUAUAUAAGACAAAGGGAGUUUAAUUCUUUAGGUCACAUUCGUAAAAAGGGAACGGGAUUGUAGUAACGACAUAAUGAACAUAUCCGAUAUCAUCAAAAUUUUGCGAAGGGAUGAUUUCAACUACUCCAUUUUGAACUCUUGGUUUUAUCGCUUCCUUGUGAGUAGCGACCCGCUAUCAAGAAAAUCAUGAUAGGAAUACAAGCCCAGGAAUAUCGAACCAAGCCAAGAUAUGAGGCAGACGUUAUUGCAUUUGUUGAAUUCUUUAUCUGUAGUUUGAUAGGAUAGAUGCGUUCAACAUAGUCACCAAAUUUUGAAUUAUUUAGUGAGAGAACAUCAUUUAUAUAGAUAAAGGAAAGUUACAGGAUAUUUUUUCUUUCUUCCUGUGUUGAAAGUUGGUUAGUGCUCAUAAGGAAGCUAUAAGAACAGGAGUUCCAGGUAGGGACGUUAAAUUCCGCCUUUAGUAAAAUAAGGGAAGCCAUAACGAGUUGGUUGAUACAUAUGGAUUAACUGUUCUACAGACGAAGAUGGGUAUAUGUAAUGUUGUAGCCACAAUCUCUUUUUCAUUUUCUCAAAUGCGACAUUCGAAUACGACGUAUCGUAUUACCUUGUGUGUACUUCCAUUAACAAGAUAACAAUGCUGAGAGUGGGACAGGAUCUGCUUCUUUGUGCCCUUUUGAGUCAAUUGAGAUAAUCCCUUUUGCUGUUAUGUGUGUUGCUCAGAAUUAAGUCUUUGUUGUUUUAUGAUUAAGUUUUUUAUCCCUUUGAUAUAUUUCGCCUCUCUUUUUAACACCUACAAAAACCCUCCAAACAUAUAGUCUAGUACUCAUCAAAUGGUUUUCAGCAAUUGACUAGAGAAAGAAGACAAUACAACUGGACAAUCAAAACACCGUCUCCUUUACCUAAACGUAAAGAAAAACGGCGGUAAGACAAAACAAAGUACAGAAAACACUGUAAAAUAUAAAGCAAAAAUUGAGUAACCCAUACCAUAUCAUUGACAGGCCUGAUUGUUAAUUGUGAAGUUUGUGAGGUUGUUUUCACGGUAUUGUUUUGUUGUUAACCUAUUCGUCGUUUUUUUAAUUGCCUGUUAUUGAAGAUUGGAUGUUGAACUGUCCUUUUGGUUAUUUGUGUCGUUAUUAUUCUUUCUUUUUGCUUAAUUUUAAAAUCUUCGAAAUAAAGGUUAGACAAUUGUUAUUGAAACUGGACAUCAAAUGAAGGACAAAAACCCGGAAGUAUUCAUUUAUAUCAAUGUUAGUGUAGUUUAUCGAAUACUUAAUCACCAUGUAUUGCUAGCAAUAUAAAAGUAUCUGCAUCAUUAUCUUUAUCCAUUGCAAAUGUACUUUUAUUCCGUAAUGUGUCACAGCACGCUCAUUUGCUCUUAUUUUCUAAACCGGAAAUUACUUAUUUGUAACGUUGCGUUUCUCGUCGUUCAGCUUUGUAUAAGUAAAAUUAGAAUACUUUUAAUUCUAAUGAUAAUUUCAAAUAUGGAUUUUUUUUUUUACACAUAUUUAUCCUAAAUAUUGAUUCUUAAUAAAUGCAGAAUUCUUAAAAAUAAAAAAAAAUGUAUGAGACUACUGUCUCAUAUAUUUCAUGACAUGUUUGGGUGUAACCUCUACUGUAUUACAAUGCGCGGUUCUAAUACAACAGUCGACAGGCAUUACUCAAAAAAGGAAAUACCCGUUGAAAGUACUAGAGUUACACUAGUGAAUAUAUUUUAAUCGCAGAGCAUGUUUGUGUGAUCAGUCACAAAUUACAACCAUCUAUACAAUUAGGUUGUGCGAUUUAAAACAUGUGUAUGUUUUAAAAUGAGGUUUUAAAUUACUUGAAAUGAUUAAAACGCCGUCAGAGUAAACUACCGCAAUCGUAUACGGUACUUUACUUUAGCUUAAAUGAUACGAGGUAUAUUGAAAAUUAUUGGCGCAAACGUACGAGCGUUGGAGCAAAUAAGUAGUGACGCAUAUUUGGCGUUUUGAGUUUUCCGAGUGUUACAGUGAUAUAUAUCUUUUUUUUUUAAAUGUUGUGACUUUCAAUAUGAUGUUCAAAGGACAAUAUAAAAAUAUUUAACUGAGGAAUCAAAAAUUAUGAACAAAUUGAAUUUGUGCACUAAAAAUAACAACUUUGAAUUUUUGGAAACAAAGAACAACUUAUAAAUUUCUUCAUUUAAUAUGUAUUUUUUUUUUUUUGAAAAAGCAAGGACCUUAAAUAAACAAAGUACUCCUUUUUCUGAGGAUAGAAGAAUACAAUACAACAACAAAUUUGAAGACAUAUUACAUAGUUCCAUUUGAAAUAAACAACUAUUUUUGAAUUUUUCGAUAACCGUAGUUCUUGACUUGCUAAAAGAUAAAAAGAAUAAAUUCCAAUAAUAAAAAUAUUUGAGAAUAGUUUACUUUGAUAAUUUUGAUAACAAAUUUGAAAAGAUAGCGAUAAAAUUGCAUUAAGAAAAACGUUUCUAUGAUCAUCUAGCGUCAUAUUUGAUAAACAAGCUACAAUAUAAUUCAACGGGAACUACAGCGUUAGAACAAUAAAUUUCUAACGUUGAUUCGUAGAAAGCAGAUAUCUUGUAUAACAAUUGAAUUUUUCGAUAACCGUAAUUCUUGAUUAGCUAAAAGAUAAUCAACGAUUGAAUUCCAAUAGUGAAAAUAUUUGAGAAAAGUUUUACAUUGAUAAUUUUUAUAACAAUUUUGAAACAAUAGCGGAUAAAAUACAUUAAAGAAAACGUUUCUAUGAUCAUUUAGCUUCGUAUUACACAAAUGUAUUAGAUGCACAAGGUACAUUUUAAUUCAACGGGAACUAUAGCGUUAGUACAAUAAGAUUCUGACAUUAAUUCGUAGAAAGCAGAUAUCUUGUAUAAUAAUUGUAUAUAGACAUUGCGAUUAAUUGCGAAUGGGUCUUAAUUAUAAACUUUUAAGAUAUUUUUAUUUGUAUCCAUUACUUUUCCCUGCUACUUCUGCUUUUCAUAAUGUACAUUAAGUUGCUUAAUAUCAUGUGAUCUAUUUAUAUUUGAAUUUGAACACAUUUGGCAUGUUUAGGAUUAAAAUAAAACGUUUAUUGCUCUACGGUCAUGCCGUUGGUAGUAUCAUGCUUAUCAAUAUAACUUAUCUUGAAAAAAAUUCUAUUAGUGAAAAUAAUGUUUCGGGAUAAAAAGUGUAUUUCAUAAAGCAAUAGAUGAUGCUAGAUAUUUAAAACAUGGAUUCGUAUUCCGUUUCGUGAUUUCUAUAUAUAUAAACGAAAUCUAAAUCCUAAAUAACAUAAUAUUAUUUCUUUUUUACUGGGACGUUUUCAAUAGGUAAAAUCAUCUUGACAUUUUUUGAAAAGUAACUGUUUUUUUUUUAUUUUAAUUUCAGGCCAGUGUUCAUCAACUGCUGCACCAGAAGUAAGUAUAUAUUUGUUCACCUAAGCUUUUAAAAAGUUGGAAUUGGAUUGUAGAAUUGCUUUUAUAAACAAAUAUGCAAAAUAUACCACCUUAUAUAUCAAAACAUCAAAUGUUAUUUAAAGAUACAAUAUAAUUAAAAGAUCAACAAAAAUUAUAUUGUGUACUAACAAUAUAAUUUCAAAUUUGAUGAUUAUAUUCAUAUUUAUUUUUCCAAAACGCACAUAUACUUAGUUAUAUGUAUAUGUUUAUAUUUAUUACAUUCAAUAUAUCAUUACAUUUUUUUUUGUACGUCUGUUUAGGCGGCAGAGUCGUCUCUUGGUGGAUGAUGUUGAUGCUUUAUUGUCCAUAUUCUACUGAAAUACAAAAAUACCGAACUCCGAGGAAAGUUCAAAACGAAAAGUCCCUUAUCAAAUAGAAAAAUCAAAAACUCAAAAAAGAAUCAUGUUUCUUCUUCAUUUAUUACAUAGUCUCCAUUUGAAAUAAUUUUUUUUUGUCGUGGGAGGGGGGUGGGGUCUUCUUUAAUAUAUGUUCAUGUCAAUUUGUUUGAGAGUUUAAUGUACCUGCUGUAUAUGUUAGACUUAUAUGCAUAGAUAUGCAUUAAGUAUUUAUUUGUGUACGCGGAUAAUGUCGGAGAAUUAUUAGACCGAACUGAAAAUGAGAGUUUCAAAUACAUUGUAGAACAAUAUAAUUAUUAUUCUACACCAGUAUGUGAUAGAUAGACAGGGUCUUUAGUUAUGGUCAUUCUUGAGAGUGAACGGUCUGGGACCGUUUAAUUGCCCUUAUCUAACAUUUCUUUGAUAUUUAAAUCUUUCAAAACAUUAUUUGGAAGCAAAUUCUAUGGUCGUUGAUGAAUAUCUUUAAAAAUUGGUAAAGUUCACAUGCAUUAGAGGCAUAUAAAACAUAUAAUGAAUAUAAUUCAAACAUCAAUUUAGUUUCUCUAAGGAUUACCUUUUUCAUGCCUUAAACACCCGUCCAGGAUGUUUUUCAAUAACAGAAUUCAUUGCCUUAUGGAAUAUAUCUGAUGUUUUAAAUGUGUUGAUCAUUUAUGAACAUAUAUAUUCAUAUAUGAUUUAUUAGGUGUACCUACCAUCAGUUGCUAGGAUUAUCAAACAGCAGUUUAAAUAUUUCAGUACUGUUUAGUUAUGCACAACAGGAAGGAUCAAUUAAUUAAAAACAGCUGACACGCGAACUUCGUAUAUUUUACAAUGUCGAUUGGUUUCCUCUGUCAUAUAGAAAGUUAUAAUUGAUUAUCUUUGAAAUUCAUUUUCAAGUUAUUCUACAUAUGCUAGUUAUGUUUUUUAAUUGUUAAGGUUAGUUAUCAAGCUCUGUGACUUGUUUUUUGUCACAACAAAGUUAUAUUUCUUGCAUUAAUGACACAAUGUUUGUAAUGUCAUAAUAACGAGAUGUAUAGCUCUUCAAGUGUUUGGCAUAAUACAAAUCACAUAACAUACUGAACUCCGUGGACAGUGUACAAAAUUCGUGGAUGAAAUGUAUCCUUCUUGUGCCAAAAAACCAAGCCACAGAGCAUGAUAACGAUCCUUAACAACUGCAACUAAAGCUCUUUUCUGAUUUGCCUUCAUCAGGCAUGCUCAGAAAAAAUUAAAAAAAAAACCCUGAGCUGCGAGGAAAAUUCAAAACGGAAAGUUCCUAAUAAAAUGGCAUAAUUAAACGUACAUGAAUCGAGCAUUCGACAGAUAAUUGAUGAACAUCAAUGGUCUAGCUACCAGUGGCACUUAUGAAAUGAUAUAUAUGUAUAGUAGAAUUCAUAUCUUGAAUACUUUGUCAUAAUUAAUACACAAAAAUUCAGAAAUUAAAAAAGUAAAUAGGAUACUUGUUGAAAGCAAAAUUCUAUGCUCACGUUCUUUCUGCUACGUUUUUCUUUCUUAUGUUUGCCAUUUUAAAUAUUCACUUUCUUAAGUUUGAAUAAUAAUAAUUCUAAUAUAUUGAUUAAAGCUCACCCUAUUUUUAAUCGACAAACUCUAUUUUUUUAUUGACUUUUGUAGUUUUCAUAUGACAAUUGUUCCAAUAUAUACCUACGCUUUUGGUAUUCACAUUGUGAACACAUCUAGUCGAUUUGACUUCCAAUAAAGAUGGUGAUUUCUGUAAUUAGAUAUUGAUUUAACCAUCAAUAUGUCUUUUCUUUAUGUAUUGGUUAAGAUUGUACAGUACUUUACAACGAUGUGGAAGUCUAGAUUGGGAGGAAAUGACUUAAACCCCCCAAUGUUGGCUAUCUAUGUGUGUGAUCAGGGAAAACAGCAACUCGAACAAUAAUUACCGCUUAGAUCAAUAACGAAAAGUAGCAUUAAUUACUGUUUAGAUCAAUAACAAAAAAGAAGCAUUAACAAGUCUCCAGCGCGUUGUAAAUAUGUUUUCUAAUUAACUAUUGAACCAAGUAGAAAGAAGUGUCAAACAAAUUCCAACGUUUAUUCUGCAAUUAUAUCAUUCUACUUAUUGACAUCUGUAUUGAAGAAGUAUAGUGGAAAAAAAAACUAAUUAGACCAAAACAGUUAAUGGUGUCAAAGGUUACCAUAAAACCAAAAGUAUGUUACCAAGUAAGAAAGAAAGAAUGACGUACAUCGAAGUAUAUAAUACGCUACAGGAUGUUUAAAGAACAGGAAACGGUCCGGACGGUUGUUAUUAACAAAACUCAGUUUCAGACUGAAAUAUACUUUUUAAAUGCGUCCCGGAAAUUAAAUUGGCUUCUACAAAUAACAUUGUUUCUAUUAUGAACUCUUUCACAGUUUGAAAAUGAGACUACUACCAUGUACUACACAAUAGCAAAUUUCCUGAGUGUGUGAUCAUUUUGCAUACAAUAUAAUGUUUCCUACUUUAACAGUUAACGAUACCCAUCAUUAUGUUGUAGAUAAUUUAAAACAAAAUUAGUAUUUUGACUAGUGAAAUCAAUGUCUGCAAUUAACUUGAGCUUCAAACAAGAAAUAACCAUUCUUAAAAAUAUAGGAGUUUUAAAGACAAAGUCUUACCUACUGUCACCCCUUGCACUUAAUAUAAUUUUAUAAGUUUCGAUCGUUUAUUUUGAAUUCGCACACUCAACGUUCUGAAUCCAUAAAAGAAACGGCACUUUAACAGAAAUGAUAGUAAUGUAAAUAUACGGUAGUAUGGUUAAAUUUGAUAUUGAUGUGACAUACUUGUUUGAACUUUUAAGUACCUCCUGAUGAUGACCACUAAACAAUAAAAAAUUAAUAAUUGAUACAUUAUUUAAUUAUACAUUGAACCGGCAUUUAUAUUCUUAAUAAUUAUCUGUUUACACGAAACAAUGAGCUGAUAAAUACAAUAAAUAUAAUAUAAACGUAUUUGAAUUGUUCAGUGUAUAUACGGACUAGAUUCACACUGGUACCAGUUAAAUGUUUAAAGAAACUUAUCUAACUUUUAGUAAGUUACCUUUUUAUAAAGACAAUAAUGGCGUUAUUAACCCCUCUCCCUCUUAUAUGGUGCAGGGGUGUUAGAAAGAUAAGAACAAUGUUAACCAUAAAGUUAUCGAUGUUGAAUUCGUUUACACCAUGACUGAAUUAUUGUGCUAUUAUGGAGUUUGACAUAUCAUAUUAACUUUUAUCAUGUGCUCACAUAUUAAAUCUUUUUUCUGUAAUAGCUAUCCUCUACAGAACUAUUUGUUUGUAGAUCUAAACCAUAUGUGUCUUCAAACGAAAAGUCAGUGUUUUGGUCUUAUAAUUCAUAUGUUUAAUAUUGGUUUCCAAUUGUGCAUACACGAUGUUGCCUAAUUCUGUUCAAUACGUGUCGUCCUUUUUCUAAAAUAAAAAAAAUCAUUAGGAGAUACCUUGUUGAUGAAUUGUUAGUACCAACUUCAAAUAAUACAUGCUGGGCUAGAAGUAUAGAUUAUAGAUACUGAUGUUGUUUAUCAUCUUGAAAGCACGUGUUCAUGUAAAUGUCUUUGAAAAUUAUUAACCUUUAAUGUUUAAUUCAUUUUACGUGACAUCCUUCUGGCGUGGCUCGGUACUUGUGCAUCCCGUCAAUGUUUUGUAUAAACCUUAUAUAUAGAUUGAAAGAUAUUUGUUACAAUAAAUUAACUGUUUUUUACAUUACAGAAGAUUAAAAUGCACAUCUAUCGCAGUAUAUUUCAACGAUUCUAUUACAUUUAUUUGCAAAUACGUGAUCGUAUAAGUGUACCCGAAAACUCGCGCGUGGUUAUAAAUCUUAAGUGUAACCGUUACACUGUAUAAGAUUUACCUAAAGUAAAACCCUUACAUUAUAUCAUGAACGAUUUACGUUUUUUCUUUGAGAAAACUCUAUAUAUCAUUUACAUAUUCCAGUUUGAAUACGAUUAUGUGAUUUCCUUGUUCAUACACCAGGAAGCUUUAACUAACUUUUUAAACAUGUGUUUUGAAUUAGAAUGAUACUUUGUUUUCCUUUUACAAUCUGAAAAUACAAGUUUAUGAAUCAUGAGUGCGCUUUUAUUGAUAAAGGCUUGGCUGUACAAUGUCAACAACCUGGUUACACGUAAACACUAAUUAUUGACUAUUGAAUUUGCCAUCUUCUUUCAAAUGAUUCCACAAAUUAAGACGACUCAUUAACUCUUAGAAAUAAUGGCGAUUUCUUGUAUUGGUUAUAUGAUAACAUCUUUAAUUUCGUGACAAAUUCUUAUGAAAUAAAACCAAAACAAUGACUGAUACUAAAAUAACAUAUUUGCCUCACGAUCUAAAAUUGGACAUACAGUUAUCAUGUUCUAUUUCUGAGGACAAACUAAUCCGCUAAAAAUUUAGCUGAGUACAACUGACAAUUAAAAAAACUUAAGUCAUAAUCAUUAUGACUCACCUUUCUGUUUAAUUUUCUUUCGGUAACUGUUACUCUGUCUAUGUUUUUUCUUUGUGUGUUAUGUUUUGUAUACUGUUGCUUGUCUUUUGAAGGUUUUUUCGAAUUAGAAUUGUCAGAUUGUUAUCGAAUUUUUGGUUUGAUUGUCCCCAUAGACAUCAUUCAUCUCUCUUUAUAAAACAUGUUAAUUAAAUUUAUUGUACAUGACGUUUACUACAACAACUAUUGUUCACAUGACAUUACGUGUGUUUGCAGCUGUUCGGGUGCGGCCCUUGAUCAAUCUGAAUUGUGGAUGCCAUUGAGAGAAAAUGUUGUGUUUGUUCAGUCCAUAUUUAUUAUUUCUUCGGUUUUGUAUAGAUCUAAAACAAAACCAAAAGAAGAUGAUCUAAUAGCUUAAUACGAAAAUGAAUACUUGAUACAAGUCUUCUGCACAAAAAACCAAAAGACAUCUGCAUUUCAACAUCAUGCCUGCGACAAUAAAAACGUUUUUUUUCUGUAUUUUUUUUAAUUUAACUUACAAUAUACUGAAAUAUUUAUCGUCCUAAGUUGAGACAAAAUAUGAAAACGCUUUACAAAUAUAUUCAAUUUUUUGCUUAUUUGCUAUGUGUAUAUAAUUUAUUUUUUUCUUUGUUGGUAAAUAAGAGUACAACAGUGAUAACUGCUGUAGUCCAUUCUUUUUAAAUUUCUUCCUAUCAUGUCUGUUUGUUUUGUUCACACACUGUUGUCAUAAGGAAAAAAAAUUAUGCGUAGGUCACACGAUUGAGAGCUAAAGCUUGAUAUAGUUAAUCCACCGGUUUCUAUAUAAAGACAUGCCUAUACCAUGACAGUUGUUUUCUAUUUGGUUGAUGUGUUUGAGCUUUUAACUUUGCCAUUUAGUUAGAGUCCUCCGGUUUGUUAUUUUACUUGUUUCUAAAAUAUUUUGUUUUCAAAAUGUGAUAUCAACACAACAACAAAAAUAUCCAAAAAGUAAAAUAACAAAAAUAACAAACUGUGUAAACUUAGGGGUUAAUUCAAACCGAAAGGUUUCUAAUCCAAUGACAACAUCAAAAACUAAAACACGUCAAAAGCAUUGUUACAAUUCCACAUUGUUUUAUAUAUUAGUUGACACAAUCCAAUUUUACUUGAUGUUAAUAUGUUUCAAUUAUGAAAGAUGUGGCUGCAUGUACCAGUAUGUUGUAACGUAUUGUACAAUUAAUCUCUUAUACUAUUAUUUGUUUCAAAAAGUAUCAAACUUUAAAUGAAUACAUACUCUUUCGUAUCUUCCAAGGAGAAACACGUCCAUGUGUGUUGCAGUGACAUAAUGGAAUAUCACACAUACUUUUAUGGAAGGUGGAAAUUUUACCGUUUAUUUUUCGUUUUAGGAAGAAGAAGAAGAAUUUUUCGGUAGUGACAAGUUUGUAGGGUUGAUGAUCGGUUUGGGAUCAUUUGCUGGACUUCUUGUUUUGUGCUGUAUUCUAUGGAAAUGCUGUUGUGGUGGGAAGGACGACUAGGUACAAAACAUUAAAAAAACGAGGAGUGAUGAGAGACUUACAGUAUCAUUUGUGAUAUAAGCGAAUCAUUUCCGUCCAUAAAAGGAUGUAUGGAUACGUGGUUAUGCGUAUGUCAUUAACAUUUAUUUGACAUCGUUUAAACACAUGGAAUAUUAAUAUAUAUACAUAUAUGUGCUGCUUCGGUGGAGAAAAUGGAUGUAUGUGUGUUUUGAGUGGUUAAAAUUUGAUUUUAUCAGCAUCAUAAAAUUGGCAUGUUAACUGCUGAAGAACAGUUUUCUCCAUGUUAUAUAUAAUAUACACAUUUAUUAUGUCUUAAACUUUCAUGAUUUUCAUUUUCAGAACUACAGAAGAUUUUUUAUGUCAUUAUUCGAGUUACUUAAAAGAUAUUGUGUCUAAUAUCCCUUCAAGAUUUUAUCUGGCAGUAACAAUAUUUUGUGUACACUUUUUUAAUUAUAUCCCAAAAUGCAUUAGUUUCUGAAACGGAGUUAAGUAUCAACACUUUAAGUUUCCUUGAUGUUGAUGAGUAACAUAAUACUUUCUUUUCGCAUGUUAAUAUUAUGUUACAUUGCCGAAUUCAGUCACUAUUUACAAACCUGAACCCCACCUUAUUUUUUAAAAAAUAAAGUGAUCAAGGGCUUUAUCAUAGUAUCAUAGUAAUGGCGCUUUUAACGCAUCAGAAAACAGUUUUCUUUUGAUGAAUAAAUAUCUCUAUUAAUAUGGUGUAUACAUGUAAUUAUCAUGGCGGAACAAACUGUUGAUUCUUUAGUAACAUAUAAACCAAAACAAAGAUUAUGUUAUUUGCGUAUACAAAACUUUGACAACAUAAGACACCAUAACUAGUGUACAUGUAUUUCAGAAUAAAUAGGAUUUCGUACUUAAAGAUGUGACAUGAGGUAGUUCUAUAUAUAUAUAUAUUUUGCUUAUUUUUAACUGAACGCAAUAAAACACAGAUAAAUAUUUAUCAUCAUAAUCUAUUGAACUACUAAAUGCUUACCUCAGCAUAAAAUGUUUGUUUUUGUGUUAAACGAUUUGCAUUGUUAUCUUGUAAUACUUUCACGUGGCACCUUACAAUAUUAAUUUUAUUUACGGAACAAAUUGCUUUUAUUUUUAUACUUGUAAAUGUGCUAUUACAAUAAAUGAAGUCUAUUAUUC